UACGGGGGGGGCAAGCGUUGUUCGGAGUUACUGGGCGUAAAGGGUGUGUAGGCGGUUGUUUAAGUUUGGUGUGAAAUCUCCCGGCUCAACUGGGAGGGUGCGCCGAAUACUGAAUGACUAGAGUGCGGGAGAGGAAAGUGGAAUUCCUGGUGUAGCGGUGAAAUGCGUAGAUAUCAGGAGGAACACCGGUGGUGUAGACGGCUUUCUGGACCGUAACUGACGCUGAGACACGAAAGCGUGGGUAGCAAACAGG
rnacentral:rRNA from 1 species